AUGCAUCUAGCCCACAUAGAUCGGUAUGUAUAUGACAUCUCUUGGUCAUUGCCUACAGGUCAGAAGCUCUUACUACUUGUUGCUGCCACCCUAGUCCUACAUCAUAGUACUACCACCUAUGUCGCUGCGUCCUCUGGGAGCAUCAGCAUGGCCUGGCCUGGCUGCCCAGAUAAGUGUGGCAACGUCAACAUCCCGUACCCGUUUGGUACCAGAGAAGGCUGCUUUCGAGAACCCUUUAAUGUCACAUGCAAUGAGACCGGGGCGUAUCUGGCCUCAACCGAAGUUAAGGUACUGGACAUCAAUCUUACUGUGGGUGAGAUUCGUGUUCUGAACCCACACAUAUCAUGGGAAUGCAACUACACCAACGGCACCAGUGGCAACGGUUCGGAUGGCUUAAGCCUUGAUCCUUUUCAUAAGCUUUCCAACACCAAGAACAAGUUGAUAUCGAUCGGUUGUGCUACACUUGGAUUGAUCUUAGGAGUCACCAAGGGCAAGAACCAGCUCGAGUUCCCCAUUGUUAACACAUGUUAUUCAGUCUGCACUGAUGCAAAUAGCGUGGAUGAUAGCACAAAGUGCAUUGGUAUGGGUUGCUGCCAAACCCCCUUGCCAGGAAACAUUAGCUCCUUCAACACCGUAUCUUCAUCAUUAACAUUUACAAACUCUGCAAGCCAGUCUUUCAGCCCGUGCAGCUACUCCUUCGUCGCUGAGGAGGACCGGUUCAAGUUCAAUCGUUCAUAUGUCAGUUCUACAAAUUUCUUAAAUAAAUAUACAGAUGGGGUCCCUUUGGUACUUGAUUGGGUUGUUGGUAAUGAAAGUUGUUCGGAAGCCACCAAGAUGGGAUCACAGUAUGCCUGCAAAGACAUGAACAGCAAAUGUGUCGAUGUGUCCAAUGGCCCUGGAUACCGCUGCAACUGCUCUGAAGGUUAUGAGGGCAAUCCAUAUCUACAAGGAGGGUGCCAAGACAUCAACGAGUGUGAACCUCCAAACCAGUCCUUGUAUCCUUGCCAAGGUAAAUGCACAAAUACCGUUGGAAACUACACCUGUUUCUGCCCAUCAGGAUUCAGGAGCGAUGAUCCAAAGAGCAUACCCUGCGUUCCAGCUGACCCAAAGAAAGCUCUUAAGGUGGUCUUAGGCAUAUCCUUCAGUGCCAUCUUCCUCAUGGUUUGUAUCUUUGCUCUACGAGCUGAGUACCAGAAAAGGAAGCUUGCGAAGGAGAAGGACAAGUUCUUUGAUCAGAAUGGUGGUCAGAUAUUAUAUCGCCAAAUUAUGUCAAAACAAGUCGACACACUGAAGAUAUUCACUCAAGAAGAUCUGAAGAAGGCUACAAACGAUUUUGACAAGAGCAGAGAACUAGGCAGGGGUGGUCAUGGCACUGUCUACAAGGGCAUUCUGAAGGAUGACAGGGUAGUGGCCGUGAAACGCUCAAAGAUAAUGAACGUGGCCGAAACUGACGAAUUUGUGCAGGAGAUUAUUAUACUUUCACAGACCAACCACCGGAAUGUGGUCAGGCUUCUAGGGUGUUGCUUGGAGGUGGAGGUCCCCAUACUGGUCUAUGAAUUCAUCCCAAAUGGCACUUUGUUUGAGUUCAUCCAUCGUAGCUAUGGGAGUCCACCUCCCUCACUGGACACCCGUCUUAGGGUCGCUCAAGAAUCUGCCGAAGCACUGGCGUAUCUGCAUCUAUCCAUGAACCACCCUAUAGUGCACGGGGAUGUCAAGUCUAUGAACAUUCUCUUGGACGACAACUACAUGGCAAAGGUGACUGACUUUGGGGCAUCAAGGACACUCCCCAAGGACGCGGCCCAGUUCAUGACAUUGGUGCAGGGCACCCUGGGUUACCUGGACCCCGAGUACCUGCAGGAGCGGCAGCUGACAGAGAAGAGCGACGUCUACAGCUUCGGGGUUGUGCUGCUGGAGCUGAUCACGGGGAAGACGGCUAUCUACAACGACGGGCCCAAGGAAGGUAAGAGCCUCGUGUGGUCCUUCCUGCUUGCGAUGAAGGAGGAUAGCCUCGAGGACAUCCUGGACCCGAGCAUCGUGCGUGCAGGGACGGAGACGCUGCUGGGGGAAGUGGCCGAGCUGGGGAGGAUGUGCUUGGGCCCCAUCGGUGAAGAGAGGCCUUCCAUGACGCAGGUGGCUGACAGGCUGAAGGCUCUGCGAAGCACCUGGAGGGAAGAGCUUGUGCUGGACCGUGCUGUAACGGAACAUAUGGUCGUGCACAUGCCACCUGCAGCAGCUCCGAUGCCUUGGGAUCUCGCGUCGUCGUCAUCAGGAGCCCCCUCGACGGUGCCGUACAUGUCCGGAAUGGGCAUAGAGGCGCCCAGAUGA
rnacentral:rRNA from 1 species